ACCCUGGAGGACUAGUGGUUAGGUCACGGCGCUCUCUCCGCUGCAGCCCGGGUUCGAUUCCCCGCCAGGGAA